rnacentral:rRNA from 1 species
GAGAUCGGGAGAGGGAUGCGGAAUUCCAGGUGUAGCGGUGAAAUGCGUAGAUAUCUGGAGGAACACCGGUGGCGAAGGCGGCAUCCUGGACCGGCAUUGACGCUGAGGCGCGAAAGCUAGGGGAGCAAACGGGAUUAGAUACCCCGGUAGUCCUAGCCCUAAACGAUGAAUGCUUGGUGUGGCGGGUAUCGAUCCCUGCCGUGCCGAAGCUAACGCAUUAAGCAUUCCGCCUGGGGAGUACGGUCGCAAGGCUGAAACUCAAAUGAAUUGACGG